CUGCGAGUGAAGCGGCAAAAGCUCAAAUUUGAAAUCUGGCGUCUUCGGCGUCCGAGUUGUAAUUUGGAGGGAUAUCUUCGGGGUUGGCGCCGUCCUAAGUUCCUUGGAACAGGACGUCAUAGAGGGUGAGAAUCCCGUGCCUGGAUGGCUGCCCAACUCCAUGUGAAGUGUCUCCGACGAGUCGAGUUGUUUGGGAAUGCAGCUCAAAAUGGGUGGUAAAUUUCAUCUAAAGCUAAAUAUUGGCGAGAGACCGAUAGCGCACAAGUAGAGUGAUCGAAAGAUGAAAAGCACUUUGAAAAGAGAGUUAAAAAGUACGUGAAAUUGUUGAAAGGGAAGCGCUUGCGACCAGACUCGAUCUUUGGUGAUCAGCCGGGCUUCGGUUCGGUGCCCUCACCAUUGAUUGGGCCAGCAUCGGUUCUGACGGCGGGAUAAAAGGAGGAGGAAUGUGGCUCCCUUCGGGGAGUGUUAUAGCCUCCUUCACAAUGCCGCCAGUUGGGACCGAGGACCGCGCUUCGGCUAGGAUGCUGGCGUAAUGGUCUUAAGCGACCCGUCUUGAAACACGGACCAAGGAGUCUAACAUCUAUGCGAGUGUUCGGGUGGAAAACCCUUGCGCGUAAUGAAAGUGAACGGAGGUGUGAACCCUUUACGGGGUGCAACAUCGACCGGUCCUGAUGUCUUCGGAAGGAUCUGAGUAAGAGCAUAGCUGUUGGGACCCGAAAGAUGGUGAACUAUGCCUGAAUAGGGUGAAGCCAGAGGAAACUCUGGUGGAGGCUCGCAGCGGUUCUGACGUGCAA
rnacentral:rRNA from 1 species